AGAGUUUGAUCCUGGCUCAGAUUGAACGCUGGCGGCAUGCCUUACACAUGCAAGUCGAACGGCAGCACGGGGGCAACCCUGGUGGCGAGUGGCGAACGGGUGAGUAAUACAUCGGAAUGUACCCAGUAGUGGGGGAUAACUAGUCGAAAGAUUAGCUAAUACCGCAUACGCACUAUGGUGGAAAGCGGGGGAUCGCAAGACCUCGCGCUAUUGGAGCAGCCGAUGUCCGAUUAGGUAGUUGGUGGGGUAAAGGCCUACCAAGCCUGCGAUCGGUAACUGGUCUGAGAGGACGACCAGUCACACUGGGACUGAGACACGGCCCAGACUCCUACGGGAGGCAGCAGUGGGGAAUUUUGGACAAUGGGGGAAACCCUGAUCCAGCAAUGCCGCGUGUGUGACGAAGGCCUUCGGGUUGUAAAGCACUUUUGGCGGGAACGAAACGGCGCUUUCUAAUACAGAGCGCUAAUGACGGUACCCGCAGAAUAAGCACCGGCUAACUACGUGCCAGCAGCCGCGGUAAUACGUAGGGUGCAAGCGUUAAUCGGAAUUACUGGGCGUAAAGCGUGCGCAGGCGGUUUCGUAAGACAGAUGUGAAAGCCCCGGGC
rnacentral:rRNA from 1 species